GAUGAACGCUGGCGGCGUGCCUAAUACAUGCCAGUCGAGCGAACAGAUGAGGAGCUUGCUCCUCUGACGUUAGCGGCGGACGGGUGAGUAACACGUGGAUAACCUACCUAUAAGACUGGGAUAACUUCGGGAAACCGGAGCUAAUACCGGAUAAUAUAUUGAACCGCAUGGUUCAAUAGUGAAAGACGGUUUUGCUGUCACUUAUAGAUGGAUCCGCGCCGCAUUAGCUAGUUGGUAAGGUAACGGCUUACCAAGGCAACGAUGCGUAGCCGACCUGAGAGGGUGAUCGGCCACACUGGAACUGAGACACGGUCCAGACUCCUACGGGAGGCAGCAGUAGGGAAUCUUCCGCAAUGGGCGAAAGCCUGACGGAGCAACGCCGCGUGAGUGAUGAAGGUCUUCGGAUCGUAAAACUCUGUUAUUAGGGAAGAGCAAAUGUGUAAGUAACUAUGCACGUCUUGACGGUACCUAAUCAGAAAGCCACGGCUAACUACGUG
rnacentral:rRNA from 1 species